rnacentral:rRNA from 1 species
GCAAGUCGAACGCUUUUCUUUCACCGGAGCUUGCUCCACCGAAAGAAAAAGAGUGGCGAACGGGUGGGUAACACGUGGGUAACCUGCCCAUCAGAAGGGGAUAACACUUGGAAACAGGUGCUAAUACCGUAUAACACUAUUUUCCGCAUGGAAGAAAGUUGAAAGGCGCUUUUGCGUCACUGAUGGGUGGACCCGCGGUGCAUUAGCUAGUUGGUGAGGUAACGGCUCACCAAGGCAACGAUGCAUAGCCGACCUGAGAGGGUGAUCGGCCACACUGGGACUGAGACACGGCCCAGACUCCUACGGGAGGCAGCAGUAGGGAAUCUUUGGCAAUGGACGAAAGUCUGACCGAGCAACGCCGCGUGAGUGAAGAAGGUUUUCGGAUCGUAAAACUCUGUUGUUAGAGAAGAACAAGGAUGAGAGUAAAAUGUUCAUCCCUUGACGGUAUCUAACCAGAAAGCCACGGCUAACUACGUGCCAGCAGCCGCGGUAAUACGUAGGUGGCAAGCGUUGUCCGGAUUUAUUGGGCGUAAAGCGAGCGCAGGCGGUUUCUUAAGUCUGAUGUGAAAGCCCCCGGCUCAACCGGGGAGGGUCAUUGGAAACUGGGAGACUUGAGUGCAGAAGAGGAGAGUGGAAUUCCAUGUGUAGCGGUGAAAUGCGUAGAUAUAUGGAGGAACACCAGUGGCGAAGGCGGCUCUCUGGUCU